GAACUGCUAACGGUAUGUAAUUUUCCUUUCCAAGUUUAUCCAGCCAAAGAAAACCCUCAAUACCCAGUAACUCGGGAGUGGGUGGUUGAGCAGAGGCUGAAGUCGCUCAUCUGACUGCACAGCAGGCAAAGUCCUGGCGGUUAACUGAAAGCAGAAGAGAGUCUGUAAGAACACCAAAGGCCAAACACCGAACAGUAAUAUUACAGAUGCUAAGCUAGAAUUUAAUACACAGUCGGAGAGGGACGGGGCCUCAAGGAAGUCAGUGGGAAAGGAAGACAUCAGGAUUGCGGCUGGAGGUGCAUGUGAGGAAGGCCGGGGCUCAGGAUGAAGAUGCGGUGGCCAGGCCUACGUGCCUCCCUGAGGAAAUCAUGCUGUGAUUAGCACCACCUGGUCAGGAAGUCCAGUAGGCAUCAGCUGCCCAGAUUUGAGAAAGCACAGCUCCUGGACAGUCCAGAGGCCCCGACAAAGCCAUCCACACUGGUUUCUAUGUUCCUUCCCGUCACAUGACAUCAGAUAUACUGGGGAAGACCAGAGAACAGCCUGCUGCCACUGUCAGGACCGUACAAACGGGAAGGGGCCCUCUGGGUCUCUGUGCCUGACCCCCUCCUCUGUAGCAAGAAAGCGUUCCUCCUCUGUGGAGUGACUGGUUUCACACAUCAGCGUGGCUAUGCAAUGGUGCCCAUUAUUUGAUUAAACACAAACUAAU